CCUACGGGAGGCAGCAGUAGGGAAUUUUCGUCAAUGGGCGCAAGCCUGAACGAGCAAUGCCGCGUGAACGAGGAAGGUCUUCGGAUCGUAAAGUUCUGUUGACGGGGAAAAAGAGCGGAGAGAGGAAAUGGUCUCCGAUUGAUAUUACCCUUCGAGGAAGUCCCGGCUAACUACGUGCCAGCAGCCGCGGUAAUACGUAGGUGGCGAGCGUUAUCCGGAAUGAUUGGGCGUAAAGGGUGCGUAGGCGGCCUGCUAAGUCUGGAGUGAAAGGUACCGGCUCAACCGGUACAGGCUCUGGAAACUGGCGGGCUAGAGAGCAGGAGAGGGCGGUGGAACUCCAUGUGUAGCGGUAAAAUGCGUAGAUAUAUGGAAGAACACCAGUGGCGAAGGCGGCCGCCUGGCCUGGUGACUGACGCUGAGGCACGAAAGCGUGGGGAGCAAAUAGGAUUAGAUACCCGAGUAGUC
rnacentral:rRNA from 1 species